rnacentral:rRNA from 1 species
UACGUAGGGGGCAAGCGUUGUCCGGAUUUAUUGGGCGUAAAGAGCGUGUAGGCGGCCAUACAGGUCCGUUGUGAAAACUCGAGGCUCAACCUCGAGACGUCGAUGGAAACCGUAUGGCUAGAGUCCGGAAGAGGAGAGUGGAAUUCCUGGUGUAGAGGUGAAAUUCGUAGAUAUCGGGAGGAACACCAGUGGCGAAGGCGGCGACCUGGGUAGAUACUGACGCUGAGGCGCGAAAGCGUGGGGAGCAAACAGA